AGGGCGCAUGCUUACCAUGCAGUCGAACGGUGAAGCAGAGCUUGCUCUGUGGAUCAGUGGCGAACGGGUGAGUAACACGUGAGCAACCUGCCCCUGACUCUGGGAUAAGCGCUGGAAACGGCGUCUAAUACUGGAUAUGAGCUGCGAUCGCAUGGUCAGCAGUUGGAAAGAUUUUUCGGUCUGGGAUGGGCUCACGGCCUAUCAGCUUGUUGGUGAGGUAAUGGCUCACCAAGGCGUCGACGGGUAGCCGGCCUGAGAGGGUGACCGGCCACACUGGGACUGAGACACGGCCCAGACUCCUACGGGAGGCAGCAGUGGGGAAUAUUGCACAAUGGGCGAAAGCCUGAUGCAGCAACGCCGCGUGAGGGAUGACGGCCUUCGGGUUGUAAACCUCUUUUAGCAGGGAAGAAGCGAAAGUGACGGUACCUGCAGAAAAAGCGCCGGCUAACUACGUGCCAGCAGCCGCGGUAAUACGUAGGGCGCAAGCGUUAUCCGGAAUUAUUGGGCGUAAAGAGCUCGUAGGCGGUUUGUCGCGUCUGCUGUGAAAUCCCGAGGCUCAACCUCGGGUCUGCAGUGGGUACGGGCAGACUAGAGUGCGGUAGGGGAGAUUGGAAUUCCUGGUGUAGCGGUGGAAUGCGCAGAUAUCAGGAGGAACACCGAUGGCGAAGGCAGAUCUCUGGGCCGUUACUGACGCUGAGGAGCGAAAGGGUGGGGAGCAAACAGGCUUAGAUACCCUGGUAGUCCACCCCGUAAACGUUGGGAACUAGUUGUGGGGUCCAUUCCACGGAUUCCGUGACGCAGCUAACGCAUUAAGUUCCCCGCCUGGGGAGUACGGCCGCAAGGCUAAAACUCAGAGAAUAUGUAGCG
rnacentral:rRNA from 1 species